GACGAACGCUGGCGGCGUGCUUAACACAUGCAAGUCGAACGGAAAGGCCCUGCUUUUGUGGGGUGCUCGAGUGGCGAACGGGUGAGUAACACGUGAGUAACCUGCCCUUGACUUUGGGAUAACUUCAGGAAACUGGGGCUAAUACCGGAUAGGAGCUCCUGCUGCAUGGUGGGGGUUGGAAAGUUUCGGCGGUUGGGGAUGGACUCGCGGCUUAUCAGCUUGUUGGUGGGGUAGUGGCUUACCAAGGCUUUGACGGGUAGCCGGCUUGAGAGGGUGACCGGCCACAUUGGGACUGAGAUACGGCCCAGACUCCUACGGGAGGCGGCAGUGGGGAAUAUUGCACAAUGGGCGGAAGCCUGAUGCAGCAACGCCGCGUGCGGGAUGACGGCCUUCGGGUUGUAAACCGCUUUCGCCUGUGACGAAGCGUGAGUGACGGUAAUGGGUAAAGAAGCACCGGCUAACUACGUG
rnacentral:rRNA from 1 species